UACGUAGGGGGCAAGCGUUGUCCGGAUUUAUUGGGCGUAAAGAGCUCGUAGGCGGCUUGGCAAGUCGGGUGUGAAAACUUCAGGCUCAACCUGGAGCGGCCACUCGAUACUGCCAUGGCUUGAGUCCGGUAGGGGACCACGGAAUUCCUGGUGUAGCGGUGAAAUGCGCAGAUAUCAGGAGGAACACCAGUGGCGAAGGCGGUGGUCUGGGCCGGAACUGACGCUGAGGUGCGAAAGCGUGGGGAGCAAACAGG
rnacentral:rRNA from 1 species